AGAAGCACUGCUCACUUCAGUAUACUAAAAUUGGAAUGAUUCAGAGAAAAUUAGCAAGGUCCCUGUUCAAGGAUGACACACAAAUUUGUGAAGCAGUCCAUAUUUUA
ensembl:snRNA U6 U6 spliceosomal RNA